AUGAGCGUGCCAUGCUAUUCAAUGAUAUUGGAAAAAUGGCAGCGUAACGUAACAGUAUUGAAAGCUGGUCGCCUUUUGAGGGAGGGAAAGCCUUUCAAUAGGAGCCCUACUUCCCUCUUUGCGACCUCAUCACUUCAAAGCGCAAACCCAUUUCUUUCUGAGUCACCGGGCGGAGCGCACCUUUGGUACUUUGCUUAUAGCUUUUUUAGGUUAUGCAAUAGACGGGAGGCUUAG